AAGUAUUUAAUAACACUUCCUAUCAACAGUUUUCCGAAGAAACGUCUUGGAAAAUGAAUAUGUUAUCUGAACCAUUGAGAUACAAAGCCUGAAAUUUUGGUAGAUGAGUGCUUGGCGAUUAUGUCGGCCCCGAAAGGAUGGAAGGCAAACUUGAUUCCGGUGCAACGUAAAGGCGGACGAAAUGUUGAUGCAAUGCGGUUAUUCAUGUGGCACAAAUACAUUUUCUUUCCGUGAAUAGUUUCAAGUCUCAUUUUAUUUACAAUUCCGUCGCAAUUGGUAACUGAUAAACUUACAUGAAAAACUUAA
rnacentral:lncRNA from 1 species